UGAUCGAGCUACAGAACCUAUUAUUGUUUUAGUGACUGUAUGAUACCGUAUAGCGGGUAAUUUUCGGGUGGCAAAACAUCCGUGGUUGGGCAUGCAUGCAGUCAUUAUAUUUGUGGAUAAUAUUUUCGUGGUUGCUGCUUGCACUACAGGCAAAUGUAAUCAAGGUCGCUUCAUUUGUGGGUAAAAUCUUCGUGGUCAAACCUUCAACCAUGAAAACCACGAAUAUUUUGCCCCACGAAAAUGACCCGCUAUAAUUAUGGUACCUGGGAACGAUUUGCUACGAUUUGCUACAAUUACAGUACGUAUCUGAAUAACAAAUUAAAGAUUCUGAAGUCCCGUCUCGAGUGCUAGGAUUGUGCAGUGUUGUCGUAUGGACCACCCCCCCAUCGGAGUUACGGAAGAAUCACUGGCUAUGAUGUGAACUUUGUAAACCCUGGCUCGGAUAAUAUAAUUGUUGCUAAGGGCAACAGAGAGUUGUUCCACGUCAUCGAAGAUGCGGUAUCUGUCAGCAAUCAAGAGAGAGUGAUGGUCCAGGUCAGAGCUAAGACAGCUGCUGCCGAUGGACAAUGGAGCACACUCGUUACACUUGGGUGCAACUGACACUGAGCCUUGGAACUAAUUCAGUGAAUAAUAAACAACAAUUUAUAGCUAUAACAAUGUGAUGAUUUUACCAGUGUAAUAGACACUGCUUAACUCUACGUGCAAGUAGACUUACGUAUGUCAUUAUGUUUUCUAGUUGAUUGCAUGGUUAUUAGUGAUCGAUGCUGAGAAAAAUCAAUACAAUUUGUAUAAUAAAAAGUCAUAAAAACCAUGCAUGCAAUUACAACUACGUAUAUAAUUAUACGCAUCUAACGAGUCAAAAAUUAUAGUAUGCAAUGUGUUUGUUAUAUAAGUUCAAAUAAUCAGAGUGACUUUUAAAUAUCCCUUUCUGAUAAUAAACUCCUGGAUCGUAGGGACUCUGGUAUUGAUUGCUUACUGAUGGAGUAGAAUCAUCUACUUCAACUUCAAAUUCUGAAUCAUGAUAAUCAUUGGAGGGCCACUGUGCUUAUAGCAUGAAAACAGAAACAUGAGUUUUCUAGCUCUAGCAAAAAUCACUAAAGCACCUUUCAAAGAAGUCAGAAAUUGAUGAUUACCAGUUUUUUUAGCUGCUGUUCCUGGGAUACAAUGUGAGCAGUAUUAAUUGGGAGGGAAAGGCAGACAGACGGCAUCCGUGAGUUACGCAAAUGAAGCUUUUAAGUUUCCCUCGACCAGUGCAGUGCAUCUAUUGAUGAUGAUCCUGUUAGUACGGAUUAUAUGAAUGCUGGAAUAACCAUUCG